rnacentral:rRNA from 1 species
GAUGAACGCUAGCGGCAGGCCUAAUACAUGCAAGUCGAACGGGAUCUGAGGGUAGCUUGCUACCCGAUUUGAGAGUGGCGCACGGGUGCGUAACGCGUGAGCAACCUACCCAUAUCAGGGGGAUAGCCCGAAGAAAUUCGGAUUAACACCGCAUAAUAAUACGCUAACACAUGUUGAUGUAUUUAAAUAUUUAUAGGAUAUGGAUGGGCUCGCGUGGCAUUAGCUAGUUGGUAAGGUAACGGCUUACCAAGGCGACGAUGUCUAGGGGCUCUGAGAGGAGAAUCCCCCACACUGGUACUGAGACACGGACCAGACUCCUACGGGAGGCAGCAGUAAGGAAUAUUGGUCAAUGGGCGCAAGCUUGAACCAGCCAUGCCGCGUGCAGGAUGACUGCCCUAUGGGUUGUAAACUGCUUUUGUUAGGGAAUAAACCUUCUUACGUGUAAGGAGCUGAAUGUACCUAAAGAAUAAGGAUCGGCUAACUCCGUGCCAGCCGCCGCCGUAA